rnacentral:piRNA from 1 species
CACAGGACAAAUACGUCACUGGCAGACCU